UCUGGUGACUAUAGCAAGGAGGUCACACCUGUUCCCAUGCCGAACACAGAAGUUAA
rnacentral:rRNA from 1 species